UACGGGGGGAGCAAGCGUUGUUCGGAUUUACUGGGCGUAAAGGGCGCGUAGGCGGCCACCGCAAGUCAAUUGUGAAAUCUCCGGGCUUAACUCGGAAAGGUCAACUGAUACUGCGGGGCUAGAGUGCGGAAGGGGCAACUGGAAUUCUCGGUGUAGCGGUGAAAUGCGUAGAUAUCAGGAGGAACACCGGUGGCGAAGGCGGUUCUCUGGGACGGUACUGACGCUGAGACGCGAAAGCGUGGGGAGCAAACAGG
rnacentral:rRNA from 1 species